rnacentral:rRNA from 1 species
AGCGAACGCUGGCGGCAGGCCUAACACAUGCAAGUCGAGCGAACCUUUCGGGGUUAGUGGCGGACGGGUGAGUAACACGUGGGAACGUGCCUUUAGGUUCGGAAUAACUCAGGGAAACUUGUGCUAAUACCGAAUGUGCCCUUCGGGGGAAAGAUUAAUCGCCUUUAGAGCGGCCCGCGUCUGAUUAGCUAGUUGGUUGAGGUAAUGGCUCACCAAGGCGACGAUCAGUAGCUGGUCUGAGAGGAUGAUCAGCCACAUUGGGACUGAGACACGGCCCAAACUCCGGAGGGAGGCAGCAGUGGGGAAUCUUGCGCAAUGGGCGAAAGCCUGACGCAGCCAUGCCGCGUGAAUGAUGAAGGUCUUAGGAUUGUAAAAUUCUUUCACCGGGGACGAUAAUGACGGUACCCGGAGAAGAAGCCCCGGCUAACUUCGUG